CAGCAAAGAGCUGAGCUUCAUUAUCAAACUGAAGGGCAUAUAAUUAGAACCAUGAUAUUGAUGAUGCUCACCCUGAGUGAGGGGGAAAAAACCCGUACAAUUACAGCACUAGAUUAUAAAAACUUCCUCUUUAAUCAAGGCUUUUAACAUGAACAGAUUUCUUGAAUAAAAUGGAAAGUUUCCAGUACACUGAAACAUAAAUCCGCAAGUCACCACACAUACAACACCCGGCAGGAAAAAACAAAAACAGCAAGUUUACAUGAUCCCUGUAACAGCCAUGGUCUCAAACUCAGAUGCUUCCUCCAUCUGCCAAGUGUGUUCUGGAUACAGAGCACAUCGUGGCUUCUGGGGUCACACUCAGCUUAGGCUGUGGGUCCACAGAGCACUCAUCUGGCUGGGCUAUGGUGGUGGUGGCUCUACUCAAGAAGCAAAGCAGUUACCAGCACAUUCAAACAGUGUAUUGAACAUCUUUUAAAUAUCAAAGUGAGAAACAAGAAGGCAACAUAAUAAUGUUAUCAGAAAGAUGUUAGGAAGUAAGGACAGCUGUGUAAAGCUUGAGGCUGAAAAGUAGCUUGCCAGCUUCAUUUCUUUGGUUUCUUGGGUAGUGGGCGCCGGAACAGCAAGAUGUGAGGUUCUGGUUCAUGGAUCAUAUAAUGGACCCAUCCCUGACUCUGCUGAACGCCAAGAUUCCUCCAUUCAGAUUCAGACAUCAGAUGGGUUUUAGGGACCAGCUUGGCUAUGUCCUUGGGCAGCAUGACAUGUCGAUACUCAAACUCCUCGUCGUCGUAUUUGUCCGAAUAGUAAAUUUGUUUGUGCGACAUGAUCGCUCGGUUUGCUAGCCUUCAGCCCCGCGCCGCCAACCUCCAAGCAACU
rnacentral:lncRNA from 1 species